rnacentral:hammerhead_ribozyme from 1 species
AUCCAGCUGACGAGUACCGAAUAGGACGAAACGCGCGUCCUGGAU